rnacentral:misc_RNA from 1 species
GCGCACACGUGCUAACCACAGUUAAAAGUUGCAGUGUCUUGGGAAAACAAACAAUUACAGACGAUGUAACAUCAACACACUUGAAUACACGUGAAAAGUUUGAAAACAUUUGGGGGGGUUCCCGGAAAGGACAAAAGCGAGGAAUAGUUAAGAGAAACACUUAAGAAAACACAAAGGGCAAGAUUUUUGUCUCUGUAAAUGACAUAAAAGAAAGUAACAAAAUAGCUCACUUACGGUUCAAACUCCUACAUGAAAAUGGUAAAACUAACUGCUAAAACACAUAUAAAUGUAAAACAAAACUUCUGCAGAUCCAAUUAAGCAAAAGUGUCCAUCAAAAACCUCUGCCAAGUUGAAACUUCCACAAGCUUACAGCUUGUCCUCAAACUCGGAUAGAGGGGUCAUCUGAUCCUUCAAACCCUUCCUCUUGCGGAUAUCAAGGACGAGUUGAUGAGCUUGUGAGCCAGCUUCCAAUGGGUCAGAGGACAUCAUUUCCCAAUGAUCAAACACACACUGUGGGAAGGCUUGACCUGAAGUAGCAGCUCUCAAGGUACCUGAAAAUCCAAAAGACUCAACAACAGGAAGGUAAGCCUUGAUGUUGUAAAGAGGAGUUCCUGGCCUCUGCAUCUCCUCAAACACGUGUCCACGCUUCUGAUUCAGAACACUAUAGAUACCACCAAGGGCUUGCUCCGGAGCCUGAAUUUCCACAAGGUAAACGGGCUCCAACAGGCGGGGUUUAGCAGUAAGCUGAGAAGCAUAGAUAACCCUCCUAGCAGUG